CAUCAUCUCUCCGGGUGACUGGAUUGUACAUACACUGCAAGCCAGCCAAACAAACAGCGUGGAUUGUGAAUUGCUGAAAUGAUCCGCUGCGGGCAUCACUAAAGGACUACAUCGACUUGGCACAAAUCUACUCUACAUUACACAAAUGACCCAGUUGGAACAACUACGGACACUUCUAAUCUUUCAAAGCAAGACCAGAAAGUACAUAAGGAGCAAGCCGAACACAACCAUCAGAAUGAAAAUGAGACUGAUCAAAGCCAUGACGAUCAGGAACCACCACUCUUCGUAGAAAGGUGUUUCAGAGAGAGCUACAACAACAGACAACAAUUCUGCAUUACAACACG